UGGGGAAUCUUGGACAAUGGGGGCAACCCUGAUCCAGCGAUGCCGCGUGAGCGAAGAAGGCCUUAGGGUUGUAAAGCUCUUUCGCCCGCGACGAUGAUGACGGUAGCGGGAGAAGAAGCCCCGGCUAACUCCGUGCCAGCAGCCGCGGUAAUACGGAGGGGGCUAGCGUUGUCCGGAAUUACUGGGCGUAAAGCGCGCGUAGGCGGUCCACCAAGUCGGGGGUGAAAGCCCGGGGCUCAACCCCGGAAUGUCCUCCGAGACUGUUGGACUGGAGUUCGGGAGAGGACAGCGGAAUUCCCAGUGUAGAGGUGAAAUUCGUAGAUAUUGGGAAGAACACCGGUGGCGAAGGCGGCUCUCUGGCCCGCAACUGACGCUGAGGCGCGAAAGCGUGGGGAGCAAACA
rnacentral:rRNA from 1 species